rnacentral:rRNA from 1 species
ACACGUAGGGGGCGAGCGUUGUCCGGAAUUACUGGGCGUAAAGGGCGCGUAGGCGGCCCAAUAAGUCAGAUGUGAAAGUCCUGGGCUUAACCCAGGGAUUGCAUUUGAAACUGUUGGGCUUGAGGACAGGAGAGGAAAGCGGAAUUCCCAGUGUAGCGGUGAAAUGCGUAGAUAUUGGGAGGAACACCAGUGGCGAAGGCGGCUUUCUGGACUGUCCCUGACGCUGAGGCGCGAAAGCCAGGGGAGCGAACGGGAUUAGAUACCCCGGUAGUCCUGGCCGUAAACGAUGGAUACUAGGUGUGGGAGGUAUCGACCCCUUCCGUGCCGCAGCCAACGCAUUAAGUAUCCCGCCUGGGGAGUACGGCCGCAAGGCUGAA